GGGGCUGUAGCUUAGUGGUUGAGCAGUUGCUUGGCAUGCAAGAGGCACUGAGUUUGAUCCCCAAUAUGCCUCC
rnacentral:tRNA from 1 species